rnacentral:tRNA from 1 species
GGUUGUGGCUUAGUGAUAGAGCGCUUGCCUAGCAUGUACGAGGCCCUGGGUUCCAUCCUCAGCACUA